UACGGAGGGUGCAAGCGUUAUCCGGAUUCACUGGGUUUAAAGGGUGCGUAGGUGGGUUUGUAAGUCAGUGGUGAAAUCUCCGGGCUCAACCCGGAAACUGCCAUUGAUACUAUUUGUCUUGAAUACUGUGGAGGUCAGCGGAAUAUGUCAUGUAGCGGUGAAAUGCUUAGAUAUGACAUAGAACACCAAUUGCGAAGGCAGCUGGCUACACAAAUAUUGACACUGAGGCACGAAAGCGUGGGGAUCAAACAGG
rnacentral:rRNA from 1 species